CGACGAAAAUAUGCCUUUGCAUAUUCGGGGUCGCAUUCAAUAGCUUUGGAAGCAUCAUUGAUUGCCAGACCAUAAUCCUCUGACUUUAAAUGUGCAAGAGAUCUAUUGGAGUAAAGAAUUGCGUUUGUAGAAUCAAGCUCAAUGGCUUUUGUAUACAAAUCUAUAGCUUGAACGAUAUGUCCCUCUUUUAGAAACUUGUUGGCUUCAUUUUUUAAUUCCAAUGCUUCUUUAGCCAUUUUAUUGAGCAAAAAGUACAAAUUCAAGCCCUUGUGAGUUUUUGUUUGGUGGUUGAUAGUAGCUAAAAAAGUUUUUAUCUGUCCGAACAAUGCAGCUUAAUAAUUGGUAGUAUUGGGCUACAAAGAAACAGAUAUUUAGGAUUCUCAAAGAUCAAAAUGAUAUUUUUAGAACAACAAAUUAAUGGCUUUAUAAAUGCAAACUUUGCAACGCAGCAUACAUAUUAAAAAAUAAAUACAGAAUUUACACAAUGUUUUACAUUAGAAAUCUCAAAAACUUACAAGCGUAAUAAAAGCAGUUUCUAUGAAGUGUGUCUAUUCAUUUAUCUACGAAAUAAAAUGACUCGAAACUUAUAAUACAUCAAUACAUCUCAGAUGAGAAAAACUUACAAGGCAAUCAUUAUGUAAAGGAAAUAACCAUUGUUUUCUAAACACAAGUGAUACCGGACAAUCUUCGUAUAGUUCAAAGAAAGAUAACAAAAGCAAACGAGCUGUAUCCUUCUCGUCUCAAGCACAACGAGUAGAAAGUACAAAGAGAACGUUAUAUUGAUGUUAUUCGAUCUUGUCUAUAUUCCAAGAUACCCAAAUAUUUUUUUUUCCUUUUUUAAGAUCUGAGCAAUCAUCUAUCAAAUGAAAUGAUGAUAUAAGUCAUUAACAAUUUCCAAAGCGGAAAAAAACUGUUUCGUAUCGACAUGCUCAAGAGGUAGAACUCAUCGAGAAGAAAGUGAACUAUGUAGAAAUGAAAAAAGACUACGAAGCGUUAGAAUUUAAAAAUUAAAUAUUCUUUUAAAGAAUAACAAGGCCAAUGGCUCAAUUUAAUGUUUUUUCUCAGUAUCCAUCCAAGCCAAAGUACGACGAAUUCCUUCCUCCAAAUCCACAAUGGGAUGGUACUUCAAAACA